AUGGUGUCUACAAAGAAGCAUCUUUCUUAUCAUUUUGUCUAUCGACUUUUAAAGCUAGUACUGACUCUUCCUGUUUUCACUUCAACUGUUGAGAGACGCUUCUCGGCGAUGAAGCUUGUGAAGAAUGUUUUGCAUAACAAGAUGGGUGAUGAUUAUUUGAGCAAUAGCCUUAUUUGCUUUGUGGAAAAAGAAAUGUUGGAUACUAUUCCUAAUGAGGUGAUAGUUAAACUCUUUCAUGCAAAAAAUUGUCUUGGGAUGAAACGGAGGAGGUAA
rnacentral:rRNA from 1 species